AACGCACUUUGCACUUCCAGGUAACUGGAAGUAUAUCUAUUCGAGUAUCAUCUUGUUCUCAUUAUACAACCUGGUGUUGAUGAUGGAUUUGAGUGUUCCGUCUGGGCAGCUUUGCCAGACUGUCACUUUAAAUAUAAGAGUUUGCGAGUUGUUGUAAAGACACCCACUUGUUUCCUUGACUUGUUCAAAAUGGGCCUUGGAAACUUUAGUCUUUACGUUAAAAACAGCUUAGGUUCCGAAACAAACUCUAGGUUCCGUGGGGCAUAAAGACUUUGUCUUUCACUUUGAAUCUCGAAUUAGAUAAGAUUACCCGCUGAACUUAA
rnacentral:misc_RNA from 1 species